rnacentral:rRNA from 1 species
AGUCGACGGCAGCACGGGAGCAAUCCUGGUGGCGAGUGGCGAACGGGUGAGUAAUAUAUCGGAACGUGCCCAGUCGUGGGGGAUAACGCAGCGAAAGCUGUGCUAAUACCGCAUACGAUCUCUGGAUGAAAGCGGGGGACUCUGCAAAGGGCCUCGCGCGAUUGGAGCGGCCGAUAUCAGAUUAGCUAGUUGGUGGGGUAAAAGCCCACCAAGGCGACGAUCUGUAGCUGGUCUGAGAGGACGACCAGCCACACUGGAACUGAGACACGGUCCAGACUCCUACGGGAGGCAGCAGUGGGGAAUUUUGGACAAUGGGCGCAAGCCUGAUCCAGCAAUGCCGCGUGCAGGAUGAAGGCCUUCGGGUUGUAAACUGCUUUUGUACGGAACGAAACGGUCCUUUCUAAUAAAAGGGGCUAAUGACGGUACCGUAAGAAUAAGCACCGGCUAACUACGUGCCAGCAGCCGCGGUAAUACGUAGGGUGCGAGCGUUAAUCGGAAUUACUGGGCGUAAAGCGUGCGCAGGCGGUUAUAUAAGACAGAUGUGAAAUCCCCGGGCUCAACCUGGGCACUGCAUUUGUGACUGUAUAGCUAGAGUACGGUAGAGGGGGAUGGAAUUCCGCGUGUAGCAGUGGAAUGCGUAGAUAUGCGGAGGAACACCGAUGGCGAAGGCAAUCCCCUGGACCUGUACUGACGCUCAUGCACGAAAGCGUGGGGAGCAAACAGGAUUAGAUACCCUGGUAGUCCACGCCCUAAACGAUGUCAACUGGUUGUUGGGUCUUCACUGACUCAGUAACGAAGCUAACGCGUGAAGUUGACCGCCUGG